rnacentral:lncRNA from 1 species
UGCUUUUUCACAGUGUGGAAGCACAUUAGGGUUGGGAGUCGAGACUAAUUGUUUCAGAUGGCUGCCGGGAGACGCCGGGCUUUGUUUUUACAGCUCUCAAAGCAGGUGGGUAAACAGGCCUGCUUUUUUCUCUCUACAAGGCCAGAUCGGGUUUCAUGAGCUCGGGGACCACAGGGGCAAUGUCUGUGCUCCUAGUACAGCGCCUGGCCCGUGGCUGGUGCACAGGGAGAACUUCUCCGUGGAUGCAUGGAAGGAAACUUAUUUCCUGGUGCAGAGGAAGCGGUCAGCGGGGGAGACAGGCUGUGUGGAGAGGUGUGAUGGUCGCCCUCAGAAGCUUCUCACCCUGGCAACCCGUCUGCUUCUCCCGCUGUCACGCCAAGCCUGCCCUCCACCCAUGACCUCUGCCCCAUCUCACAGAAGCAAGAGUAGAGGUCUGGUGCUUGAAGAUGCCUGGCCUAGAACUGUAUUACAAAAUUCAUGUCUAGCCUGAGUCAGGUGAUAGAAUAGCAACAAGAAGGAAACAUUUUCAAAAGCUCUGCCUUGUGCUUAGGUCUAGAAAAUAGUGGAG